rnacentral:rRNA from 1 species
AACGAACGCUGGCGGCAUGCCUAACACAUGCAAGUCGAACGAACUCUUCGGAGUUAGUGGCGCACGGGUGCGUAACGCGUGGGAACCUGCCCUUGGGUACGGAAUAACUCAGAGAAAUUUGUGCUAAUACCGUAUAAUGACUUCGGUCCAAAGAUUUAUCGCCCUAGGAUGAGCCCGCGUAAGAUUAGCUAGUUGGUGAGGUAAAAGCUCACCAAGGCGACGAUCUUUAGCUGGUCUGAGAGGAUGAUCAGCCACACUGGGACUGAGACACGGCCCAGACUCCUACGGGAGGCAGCAGUGGGGAAUAUUGGACAAUGGGCGAAAGCCUGAUCCAGCAAUGCCGCGUGAGUGAUGAAGGCCUUAGGGUUGUAAAGCUCUUUUACCCGGGAUGAUAAUGACAGUACCGGGAGAGUAAGCUCCGGCUAACUCCGUGCCAGCAGCCGCGGUAAUACGGAGGGAGCUAGCGUUGUUCGGAAUUACUGGGCGUAAAGCGCGCGGUA